UUCCAGUUGCCAAGCCUCACCCUGGAGCUCUACAGAGACAUUAUGGAAACUCCCCACUCCUUUCUGCUCCUCAGCCAGGGAACUUGGAGAAUCUAGCCAGAUGCAGUGACAAGGCGCCAUCUUGGAAGACAACAGCUCUCACCAGACACCGGACCUGCUGGAGCCCCAGUCUUGGACUUCCCAGCCUCCAGAACUAUGAGGCCACAAGAUGGAGACGGAGCGAGUCACUGAACCAAGGUCAUGCAGCGCCCAUCUGACGUUCCCCCGGGAGGAGCUGCAGGGCCUUCUCUCGAGGAGGUGGCAGAGGGGCUUCCUUGUGCAAAGGAAGGUCCCACCAGCCCUUUUGGAACCUCAGCCUGGUCCUCCAGAAUUUCACCUCAAACUACUGGAGUCUAGGUCCUGCGUCCCUCCUUAUAAGCCCCUCAUUUCUGAGUUCAGCUACGAGGCCACUCCAGGGACUCCAGGUUGCCCCUUAGUCCACACAGUUGCCUGUCCUUCCCUCCAGGAUGAUGUGAGCCCUGGGGGCCCAGGCAGGCUGGGGAUGGAGGCCACUCAGUGAGGGUGGAAAGCACAGGCCCUGAACAGGAGGGGACAAUGAGAAGCAGGCACCAGAACCUGGGAAUCCACAGCUUUACCUGCCCCAGGGCCCAGCUGCUGAGCUUGCACAGUGCAGAGCACAGCUCCAGGUGACCUCAGCUUGGCUGAAGCUCACUGGGAAGAGGGGAAGGAGGGAAAGAGAGGAUCUCUUGUCAGGCCUCCAACCCUGCCACCAGAGGAUGGAAAAAUCUGACCCCAUCCCUGUGCCUUAAAC